rnacentral:rRNA from 15 species
GCGCGGGUCUUGAGCCAAAGCCUGGGUGAAACAGCUCCUAGUGUAGAUCUUGGUGGUAGUAGCAAAUAUUCAAAUGAGAAUUUUGAAGACUGAAGUGGAGAAGGGUUCCAUGU